rnacentral:lncRNA from 1 species
UUAUGUGUAUUUGCACCGAUCAGGACUUGAUGGUUGGGAACCAGAGAGUGUGAAGAUUAUCAGUCCAAAUUCGAGCCCUGUCACAUAUGACUUCAACACCUCCGCUCCCAAUGAGGAUUGGUACGGAGUCAAUUUGUGCCAGAUACAUCCUCCUCCUUCUCCAUUUGAACCUUCGCCUCCUUUUCCAAUUAAACCUCCGCCUUCUCCUCCAUCUUCUUCUCAUCAGCAUCGCGUUCCCGGAUUGUUCGGGCUCGUAAUGAUUCUGGGAUCCAUCCUGAGUGCUCUGUUGUAAGCGCCCUUGAUGGUUUGUUUGGUUUUAUGUAUGUGAUUCUGGGAUAGUCCUAAGUGUUUCUGUUAUGUGCUUGCAACUACUAUCUGCCGUUAUUUUGUCUGCGGCACGAUUGGUGCAAUAAUAUGUCAUGUUGUUAUUAGUUGUAAUAGGAUAUUUAUCCAUGUCUGCCGGAUAUUUUGUAAGCUUUAUAAUAGUUGUGAACCGUGCUUUUGCAGCUAUUAAUUAACUAAUGUUGUUUUGUUAUUAACUACUCUUUGCAUAGCCCCUUCAAGAUGGGGGUUUUAUUUCAUGAUCAAGAUUUUCCCUUGAUUUGAUUAUAUUUUGGGAUAAAAUUAUGUUGCAACUAUGGUAUGCUACUGCAGUUGUUUUCAGUCGUUAGAUGUACAGUUAUAUAGUUAUAUUAGUUGGAUCUAAUGAUUGAAAACAAUUGUAGUAUCAUAUUAUAGUUGUAACAUAGUUGGACCCCAAUUGCAUGAUUGAUAGUUUAUAAAAAAAAAAAAUUGAAUCUUCUUCAUUCACUAUCACUAAAAGACACAUUGAAAGAAGAUUUUAAAAAAUUCAUAAGAAAUCAGAUCAAGAAAUGAUCAUUUUCUUUCGUUUCAUGGCUUUGCCUUAAACGCAAUUGAGAGUGGCCUUGGGCUCUUGGACAUUUUAUUUAAGAAAGGUGCUGGAAUUAAUGGUGUUACUGGAGGCGUCGCUAAAAGCAAUCGGCUAUAAUUUACUUGGUUAUUGUUUCGCAGCAAAGCUCGUGUUUCUUGAUGUGUCGUCUGUGUGGCCGUUGAUUUCAAUUCUCGAUUACGUGUCAUCUCUGUUCAGUUGAGUGAGCUUUUUCUUUUUUGGUCCCCAUUGCCUACAGCCACGAAUUUGAAAAACGUAAGACAUGUCGUCAUGUAGACAAAUUUGAACGGUGACGGUGUAGUAGUGGAGCCGAUUGAGACACGAUAUCGACUGAUUAAACUUACUUUAUAUGGGAAUCUUGUGAAAUUUUUAAUUAUGAUUUUUUAGGGUGACGACAACUUAAUUCAUUUUUCUAUAGAUGCAUGAGUUGGUUUUGAAUCUUAGUGCUUUUGAUUUUUACAUAAAAUUAUAUUAUCUCAACUAAAUAGUCUAUACAGAUUACAAAUGUUAUAAGAAUAUACUUUUAAGUGUUGUGAGAUGUUUUCAUUACUAAUUUACUAGUACUAACUUUUUUUUUUCUAAAAGAUAAAUUAAUUAGCGUCCAAAAUAUUAUUGUAAGAAUAUUAUUAUAAAAAUUAAGGAAAAGUAAUUUUUUAAAAGAUAAAUUAAUUAAUGUUAAGAAUAUUAUUAUAAAGAUAUUAAUAUGAAAAAAAUAACAUAAUUAAUUGUAAAGACAUUUUAAAGUGUUGUUAAAAAUAUAAGUGCUUUGGGGUAUAAAAAAUAGUUACUUGAGUUCGAGGAGAAAGUUAUUUGGUCACAUGUGCAAGCGCGACCAACGUUCUGUUAGGAGAAUAGAAUCAGGUCGCAUGGCUUUGGUUAAUAUCUCAUAUUGUUGAGCUUCAUUUGGAAGCUCAUCCGUAACGUAUAUGCACGCUCUGCUUUAAUGUUUAAAGCACAAUCAGGCAUUAUAAUGGUUGCUCAACAACUAGAUAAAUUGAUAUAUUAACUCUUAGAUUCAAGUGGCAUACUCAAUUUGGUAAUGACCACGCAGUAAAGAACGAACAAUAACGCGCGACAUGCAUAGUUCUCUAUAAGAACUGGGGGAGAUCCAGAAAAUGGAUUUUUUUUGGGGUUUUGAUUAAAAAAAUAGAAUUCUAGAAAAAAUACAAAAUACUUAAAAUCACAAGUGUGACAUUAUUAUUUUCCUUACAAAGAAAAACCUGAUUGCUGACUUGAGCGUUGGAAGGUUUUUACUAGAAAAAAUACGGCGUCCCUGACAGUUUUCUGUUGUUGCAGAUCAAAGGAAAUGUCAGUACAAUUCAAAUUCCACUACAGUAUCAAGCGACAAAUGCCCCAUCAAAAUAAAUUAAAGUGUUGGCGAGACAAUUUGGUCGCCGACCGAAUUACGGCAUCAACAAUAAAAAUUAAAUAAGAACUUAAGUUAAAAUAUAGAAAUUAAAUAAAGAUUUAUCCUAAGUUUAGAUAUCAAAUUUACUACGGAUCUUUGAUGGAGAAAGUUACCAAAAGAAACAAAAAGUCCAAAUUUUUGUCUUCAAAAGAUAGUGCACCUAGAUUGACCCUUAUAUACUAGAAGAAAGAGAUGGGAUUGAUUAUCCUUCACACAAGCUUCAAGAUAAUUCUUUUUAACCAAAAAAAAAAAAUUGUAAAAGGGAUUAAGAUGCGUAAAAUACAUUUUUUUCCCCCAAAAUUGCGUAAAAUACUUGAUGAAAACAUGCAAGGCAGUGGAGUCAAACUCAAUCGAGACACUGAGUCAGAUAAUUUGAUAGUAUGGUUCACCAUUGUCGACGUCUGCAUGUUUUGUCAAAGAAUGACUCCCAACCGUUUUCCAACAGAAAAACGGGUGUAGUUGGCACUAUUGGUUAUUAAUUAUUUAUUAUUUUACAUUUUCUAAUUGAUUAUUUUAUCAGCUUCCACGUGUGGGUAAGUAUAGUAGAAUAUCAUUGAGGCUCUUUGAAAAAAAAAAAGAAAGUAUAUGCACCUAAUUUCGCUUGAGUAUCUAAUUUAACCAACCAAUUGUGGACCAUGAUAGCCUAGUCUUCUUGAUGUUACAGCCAUUAAAUUGCCAAUCGGUGCAAGCGGUUUUUUUUUUUUAAUAGUAAAUGAUUUCAUUUCCAGUAAAACACAAUAAUUAUAAUAAAAUUUCGAUCUUUAUUGGGACCUCUUCGAUCCACACUCGAGGUGUUGAAAUGAAAAAAGUUAUUUUUUUUCUAAAGCAUGGGCCACUAAGUUAUAAGACCUAAAAGUAUAAGCUAUCUGAUAUUGAUUAUUUUGUUCUAUCAUAACUCUAAUAUCAUAAAGUAUCCAAUCUAACUCUUCUCUACUAGAAGUACCAUUGAGAAUAAAGUUGACAACAUUCUUGGAAUCAUACCCUAUAAGAAGAGGAGAAAGAGCAACAUCCACUGCCAACUUUAUUCCUUCUAAAAUCACUGAAGCUUCCGUAAUUUCUACAUCUCCUAAGCAAGGUUUCUUUGAUGUUGCAGCAGCCAUUACGGCUCCUUGAUAAUCUCUGAGAAUCGGUGCAAGCGGUUUUGGCUCAAAAUGCUUGCUGGUCUUCUAGAAUCUCAUACUUAAUUGACUAGAGAAGUGGAUAGACCUUCACUACCAAAGGGUCACACUACCUCCUCCUUCGAAGUUCAUUUCUCUAGGAUAAUUAUACUUGAUUUUUUUUUCUAGGGAAAGAUUCAUUGGGAUAAAAACCCAAGCAGAAGAAAUAGAAUUUAAUAACUCAUAAUGUAGUGCCUAACGUGCUUCGAUUGUGAUGUGAUUAUGUAAAGCACAGAGUUAUAAUCAUGGACCAACUUGAAAUAUUACACUAGAAACUACUUCCACUUGGGUGAGAUAUUAUGCUCUUUAAGCAAUAAUUUCGUAUCAGUUCAAACAAUAACCUUGAUUGUGUUACUGAGUCUCAUGGCUUUUAGAUAAGUUAUUGAGGUAUAUGGCUUGUAGAUAAAUCACCGAUGAAGAAUAAUUUUCACCGAAAAAUACUAUAGGCUUCAAAUUCAGACUUUGAUGGAUUUGCUAUCUUCAAUUGAUCUUUAGGGGUUUUGGAAUCUUCAAAUGCAUGGCUUUAUAUGUGUGUAAGAAUAUUCAAAUUCUGUCUUCAUUCUGUCGGGUUUUCCUUGCAAUAUUAGUAACAAAUAAAUUUAAAUAAAAAAAACACACAAUAACUAGCCUCAUUUUGUUUAAUGUAGAAGAUCCAAAUUAAUAUGACAAUGAUAGAGAAUACGUAUAAUUAAAUAAACUAGUAAAAUAAAGAGUAGGGUAUAAGAUACUUUCUAUACCCGAGCAAUAAUCAUAUUGAUAACAUGUUAUAAUGUUGAUGAAUUUGGGUAGGAAGCAUUUAACAAUUUUAAUAGAUAAUAUAGAUGAUAUAGAGAUAAGGGGGCUGUGUCAUAUAAAUACAAAGCAUUUUUCUCCCACGCUUAAUUACGGUUGCGUUUAGAAUUGAGGUUAUUCAGUAGUAACUUAAAAGUGACAACACUAAAGUGUUUGGUAAACAUUAGCUGCUAUAGUUUGUAAGCUAUAUUGAUAUGAUUUUUCACUUGUAUAAUGAAAAGUUUAUUAUAUAUUUAAUAAUUUUGUCAAAAUAAUUAUUUAAAAUUUAUAUUUACUAUAUAUUAUUAACUUUUGUUUAAUAGUUAUAAAAUCUUUUUCACAGCAACUAUAACUUAAAAACUACAACACCUCAAUCCCAAACGGAUCGGUUGUCCAAUUUCAAUUCCUGUCUCACUAGAAUAAUAAGCUUAAUUAAGUGUUCAGCUCCUUAGCUUUAUAUCAUAUAGCCCCCUUAUCUCUGUAUCAUAUAUAUUAUGCAUUAAAAUUAUUAAUAUAUUCCCUACCCAGAUUUCUCUCAGAUUUGAUCGUGCGAUCUUCAAAGUCAAAAACUUUUAAAAAAAGAAAAUAGUCCGCGUACCUAAACUCAAUUUUUCUAUGGGUGAAUCUGACCCGUAGGAAAAAUAGUACAAACAUCUAUUAUGAUAACGAUACAUUUGAGGACGAUGGCCAAAUAUUUUAUUUUGGUGAAGAUAAGGUUAUAUAUAUUUUAGUGGGACUAUUGUCAUGAAUUUUUAAUCUAUUUAAGAUCUUGCAAAUUAAAAUAUCAAAUAAAAAACAAACAAACAAUAAAAUCAAUCAUAUAAUAUAAGAAUUUGCAUGAAAAAAUCAUAUAUUAAAAAAAACUAUAACUACAAAGAACAAUAAGAGAAAAAUCUAUUAUGUGAAAAAUUAUUAUAAUCAGUUUAAUAUUUUUUUCACAUACAAAAUACUAAUAAUAUCCUAUCUUUCAAUAGAUCUACCAUUUUUCUUAUACUAAAAACUGUUUAUUUACAGAGAAAUUGAGUGAUUUACAAGUGAACCCAACUUCUACAUUUAUAGUGAUUAUUUAUUGUACAAGUAAUAUUCAUUUUCUUAGAAGAAUUAUAUUCAGUCAUUGAAUAAGUUAAGUACUAAAACGAAAAGACUCAUUAAAUAAUAUUUUACUUCUCAUUUGAAGUAGCCACAUUAUUAAUAAAUGUUCAAAAAAUUAUACAAAAGAGAUUUUUCAAGUUAGAGCAUCACCAAAAGACUCUUCAAAUAAGAUUUUAUUAAUUAUUUGAAGAGCCACCUCAAUAUUUAAGGCUCCAAAAGACAUUCCAAUUAAGAUUCUUCAAAUAAGAAAUGAUUCUCUCUCUUCAAAUUUGGAGAGUUGAUUUCUCCCUCUUCAAUUUAUAUUUUAUUACUUUUCAUUGAAGAAAGAGAGAGAAGUGCUUUAAUUACUAUUGACUUUUCCUUUAAAAAAAUAAUUAUUUGAUUAAAAUAAUAUUAACUUAUUUCUAUUUGAAGAGUCUUUUGGAGAAUAUCAUAUUUUUUCACCAUUCUAUUUGCCACAUAGGUAAGCAAAUAAGUAUUUGAAGAGUAAAAUUUAUAGAGGCUUUUGGAGAUGCUCUUAGAUUGUCAUUCUCUCUUCUCAAUAUUAAAGAGUGACUUUUAUUUUCAAUUAAUAUUAUAUUAUUUUUUAUCUCAUUAUUAUUAAAAAAAUAAGUACUAUAAUUACUAUUAUUAUUAUUUUGGUUGAGAAAAUAAUUUAAUUAAAAUAAUAUUAAUUUAUUUUUAUUUAAAGAGUUUUUUAAAGGAUGUCAUAUUUUGUUAGGUAAAUAAAUAAGUAUUUAAAAAAUAAAAUUGGAAUAGUUUUGGCUAACGCUCAGUUGCUUAUAGAACAUGGCCGGCCGGCCACUACUCACACAGUGAAAAUAGUUAAAAGACAGAUUUGCCCUUAAGAGCGAUGGAACGUCGGGGAUUUGUAAAUUUCCCAAAAAACACAGGCUUGCUAACUUUUUAUUCACCCCACACGAUUCAACUACCCGCAGGCUGCGGCAACAUUAGCAUAUUUAAACAAGGUUUCUGGGGAAUUGAAUAAAAAAUUAACAGGAAAAAAGAAAAAAAAAUCGAAAAUCGAAAAUCGAAAAUGAAAAUCGCAGCUCCCAUUCUGCUUCUGUUGGCCUUUGCGUUCACGCUAUCUGAAGCCGAAACGACGAGCUUGCAGCUGAAGCCUCGAGCUUUCGAGUCCUUUAACGUUAGUUAUAUUCAGGUACCGUAGUUAUUAUUUUAUCUCUCUCUCUUUUUUUAAUAAAUUUAUUAUUUUUUGAGUAGUUGUUGAUAAUCGUUUAAUUUUUUAACCAAAAAAUAGAACCUAGGGAGCUGUUCUUACACGGUGGUCAUAACUACCAGCUGUUCCUCAAGCAAGUACACUCGCGAUCAGAUCAGUAUUGCUUUUGGAGAUGCUUACGGCAAUCAGGUUUUCAAUUUUAUUUUUUUAAAUUUAAAAGUAUCUUUUAAUUUCUUCAGUUUUUAAAUCAGUGUUUUUGUCCUUUUUUUUUUUAAUGGUGAUUCUGGAUUUCAUUUUUAGGAAGGAAAUUGAUAAUUAGAUUUUUGUUUGCUUAAAUGGAAAGUGAUGACCAGUGAUGUAGAAAUUUUUAUGUAUUUAACUGUAGGCUUUUUAAUUUCAUUUUAUUUUUGAGAGCAGAGCAGAGAAAGUAUAUUAGGGUAAAGUUCAGUUGGCUGGAGUUAAUAAAUGCAUGGAUGUAAGAUCAGUUUGGGUUUGAAUUGCAGUGGUUUUAGUCAACAAUUGCUGUGAAAUUGAAUCACUUGUCGUUAAGUUAUAAAGUUGGCGAUUAGCAGUUGAGUAAACUUCAGUUGUGCCUUUUAAAUUAAGUUCAAGCACAACAACCAGAAAUGGGCUCGUAGUCUUAGUCUUUGCAUUGGGUUCUUUUCAUUUGAGAUCCUGUUCCUGGGCGAAAUGCUUUUGUGCUCUUGAAGGAGAUAUUUGUUUAUUUCAGCUUAACACUAUAAUACAAGUAGACCACAAUGCCUAAUUGAAAAUGUUUUGUUCGGACCCAGAAUAGUCUCAAACUUGUAAACCAUCGUUGCGGUGGGGGGCACCUCCUUAGCUCCUUGCCUUCUUCUCAUGAUUGAUGGUUUGAGUGUCCCAGUUUGUUGUGCUAGUGUUUUCUUUGAAUUUCCUGAGUUCACUUUGAAGUAUGCUUGGCCAGAGCACAUAUCAAACUUCUUAUGAAAGUUGAACUAAUUUAAGGGAUUUUGAGUGGAAUUCUCGUAACCUAUUAGUAGAUGUGUUGUUGCUCCAUAUUAAAUACAACAGAAAGCAAUUCUUUAUGUAAUGCAUUCAUUUUGUUUCUAAAGGUCAGGUUUAUCUAGAAAUAUAAAACUACACUAUUCUUAUAGUCAAAUGUGGAUUACUAAUAUAUUUGAAACAUUUGUAAUCAGAUUUAUGCACCAAGACUUGAUGAUCCGUCUACCGAUGCAUUUGAAAGUUGCUCCUCUGAUACAUUUGAGAUAAGAGGACCAUGUGCGUAUCAAAUCUGUUAUGUGUAUUUGUAUCGAACUGGACCGGAUGGUUGGAAACCAGAGAGUGUGAAGAUUUAUGGUGCUAAUUCGAGAGCUGUCUCAUUUUACUACAACACCUUUAUUCCCAGUGAUAUCUGGUAUGGAUUCAAUCUGUGCCGAAGUGCUUCUUCUGCACAUCAACAACAUGUACCCAGAUGGUCUGUGUAUGUGAUUCUGGGACUCCUCUUAUGUGCUCUGUUGUAAGCUCCCAGAUGUUUAGCGUUUGUGAUUAUAGGACUUGUCCAAAGUGCUCCACUGUGAUCUCUCAAUCAUCAUUUGCUGUUGUUUGUGUAUCAUACAAUUACAUAUAAUCUGCAUUUUGUUAGUUAUAGUCAGAUGUAAUCCAGGUCUAUUAUGAAUUAUCACUUGGAUUAUUUUGUGAGAGAACAGAGCACUCAUUAAAUACUACUCUAGAAGGUGUUACCAGAUGCUUUUGUGAGAACCGUUUCUCAGAGCACUCUAUAAAAAUUUGGGAUCAUUGAACAGUAUAUUUUACUGACUUGACUGUUGCUCUGCAGUAAAUUAAAAGCUCGUAAAUCGCUGACCCUUCUUAUUCCUUAAAGUCUCGUGUGAUAGUUGAUUUUAAUUCUUGAUGUAUCAUCUCUAAUCAGUUGGGCGAGCUUGCAAAUUUGGGAAGGUUCUCCUUUGUUGCCCAUUGGCGAUCCGGGUUCCGGGUUUAUCAAGUGAUGCCCAAGACCGACCUGGCUUCAUACCCUGGCCGGGUAAUAUCCGGCCCGCAAUGCCCGGGUACGGUCCGGGUCCGGACCGGGCGGGUAUUUUUGCCACCUCUAGGCGCAAGCCACUGGACACUUGACUUUGCUGUGAAUGUUGACAAAUCGAGCGGGCAGGGAAUUAGUCAAUUGAGACAAGAAAUAAAACUAAACUUAUUUGGUUCGGAGAAUAUGUUCACUAUCAUGAGAGCAUCUCUAAAAGAUUUUUUAAAUAAAAUUUUAUUAAAUACUUCAAAAGACGCGUUAAUUUACAUUUUUCAGAUACGAUUUGUUUAUCACUUUUCAAUAUUACUUAGUGAUUUUCUCCCUCUUUUAUUAAUAUUUUAUUAUUAUUUAUUGAAAAGAUAAGAGUGCAAUAAUUAUUAUUUAUGUUUCCUUUUAAAAAUAUAAUAGCAAUUCAAUUUAAUAGUGGAAAGAUUUGAUUAAAAUAAUGUUAAUUUAUUCUUAUUUGAUGAGUCUUUUGGAGGAAAUUGUAUUUUUCCACCCACUUAUUUGCCACAUCAGUAAGCAAAUUGAUAUUUGAAGAGUAAAAUCUAAAAAGUCUUUUGGAGAUGCUCUGAACACCAUUAAUUUGGGGGUUUUUAAUUAAAUACCCUUUAAUAGUUGUAAAAUUAUUUAAAUAUCCCUUUUUUUUCACAAAAACCCUAACAAAUAUGUAUGAAAUCUAAAAUGUGAAUGCAUGAAAUCUACUCCUUUUCACUGUCUUCUUAGUUCUUAAAUUCAAAUCUCUUCUUACUGAAAUUCUCUCAAAAUCUCUUAUAACCUCUUACACAAAUACAACUAUGUAUUCACUUCUUUUUUUUUGAAUAAUUUUCAUUGACAUUUUCUACAUAGCAACAAAUAUAAAUUCUUAUAACAAAUUAAGUCUUUAAAGAACUAAAUUAUUCUAAUGAAUAAUGAACAAAGUCGUGUAAUACAUGGAGGUUGUGUAAUCGCGUAAUAUAUGAAGUCGUGUAAUACAUGAAGGUCUUGCAAUACAUGAAGUUGUGUAAUAUAUGAAGGCGUGAAAGUCCUGUAAUACAUGAUUCAAGAUCACGUAAUAAUACAAAAAGUCAUGCCAUAUACGACUGAGGAUUGUGUAUUACAUGAGUGUAUUACACGACAUUAAAUCAUGUGUUACAUGAUCUUACACAAUCAAAUCAUAUGUUACAUGACCUUACACAACCGAAUUAUCAUCGGUACAAUCCAUCAAUUUUUCACCAUUUACAUGGAACAAAAAACUAGAAAUUUGUAUGUUAUGAGAGACUUACAACUAAUUUAAUUUAUUUUUACAAUAUAAGAUCCUAAAUUUUUUAUUUUUCUUUAAAUAUAAAAAAAAUUUAAUUACAAGGAAUUACUUUCCUAAAGUAGUUAGGUUCCAACAAUUUUGCAGCAAAAAAUCAAUUUUCGUCGCCAAUUGUGCAGUAACAAACCAAGCUUCUCUUUCUCAGUUGCAGCAGCUUCCCCUUUUGAUGUCUAGUUCAACAUGUAUGAGUGUUUGUUUGAGUCAUGUUAUGUUUGAUUUGUGUAAGUGUUUUAAGAUGAUGAUAGUUUAGUAAUUUCAUGUGAGUUUUUAGAGGAUAUUCAUGAAAAUUUUGGUAAAUUCUAUUUUUAGGGUAUAGAAAUAAUUUUGAAAGUAUGAAGGUGUAUCUGCUGCAAUUACCUCCAUAAUUUUCUCUAUGUUAUCGUUACUUUUGUAUGUUUUGACGAUUUUUCUUUUUCUGUAAAUAUGAAAGUUACUUGAUUGUUGGUUUACUUAAUGGCUGUUAAAGACCAAUUCCAAAUCUUAUGUGGUAUUAUUGACAAUAGUUAAAAGUUGGGGCAUCGGAAUAAUUGUUUCACCACGAAUAACAAGUGCUUUUAUGCUGUGACAUCAGCUCCGAGUACAACCGCUUUUGGAAGCAAAAAGUGUUAAAAUCUAACGGUAGAUAUCAAAACAAAAUAGGGUUUCAUAUCUGACGGUUGAGAAUCUCUCCUCUGUUAAACCAUAAAAGCAGAAACCCUAAACUCUUUGCCUCCUCUUUCUCUCCUGCUCCCGCAACUCAUUGCCACAUCAAAUUUGUAGCAGGAGACGCCCUCUGCUGUUUCUUUGUAUCUCAUUUUAAUUUUUGUAACUUAACAUAACCAUUCAUGCCUUCGAUCGCUUUGUUUGACGGAAAAGAAGUGAAAGACGAGAAGAAGAUGAAUAAGAAAAUGGCUCUCAAGGACUUCGAAGAAACGGAGGCGGCGUUAACUGAGAAGAGUUCGGAUAAGAAGAAGAGCAAGAAGAAGGAGAGUAGUAAGAAGCGGAAGGAAUCGGAGAUUGAGGAGGAGGAAGAGAGAAGCGAAACGAGCUCGGAGUUAGGCGAGCCGGUGAAUUUGAAAUCGGAGAAGGAGAAAAAGAAGAAGAAGAAAGCGAAAGUUGAGCCUGAGGCUGGAGUGGAAGAGCAGGAGAGGGGUGAAAGCGAACAUCCGAAUGCGGUUUCGAGGUUUAGAAUAUCGGUGCCAUUAAGGGAAAAGCUCAAGUCCAAGGGGAUUGAGUCUUUGUUUCCUAUUCAAGCUAUGACUUUUGAUAUGGUUCUUGAUGGCUCUGAUUUAGUCGGACGUGCACGGACCGGUCAGGUAUAAUAACUAAAUUUUGUGUAAUUUGUUAAUUUUGAUUAGCUAGUGUAAGCAAGUAAUUGUUUAGUUGUGUUAUUAAUGGUAAAAUUAGAAGAAUUAUUGAGUUUUUAGGUAAAAAUUAAAUCAUAUUUCAAUUUUUUCUGUAGUAGCAAAUAUCUGUUCGAUCAAAUACUUUUUACCUGAAUAUGAUUGUAUAUUUAGCCGUGUUUUGAACCGUGCAGGGUAAAACUUUAGCCUUUGUGUUGCCAAUUUUAGAGUCUCUAACGAAUGGGCCAACAAAAGCGUCCAAGAAGACUGGAUAUGGCAGGGCUCCAAGUGUUUUGGUGCUUUUGCCUACUAGGGAAUUGGCCAAACAGGUAUGAAAUAGGAGUUAUAAAAAAGUUUAUUCAUUUUUUUUUUGGUUGGUUUGUCUGGUGACAUUUUGUUUUUGGGUUUGUUUUAGGUUCAUGAGGACUUUGAUGUCUAUGGCGGGGCAGUGGGACUGACCUCAUGUUGCUUAUAUGGAGGAGCUCCUUAUCAUGCUCAGGAGUUUAAAUUAAAGAAAGGGAUUGAUGUAGUCAUUGGAACCCCUGGACGUAUUAAGGUUAGCCAUUUACAAAAAAUUUCAGUGCUAGAAAAUAGAAUUUUGACAUGACCUGUUGUAUUAGUUAUGGAUUUCCUGAAUAAGUAUGUGAAAGUUGGGGUAUUUUGAUUGAUCAUGUGGUUGUCAACUGAAAUUUACAUAUGGUACAGGAUCACAUUGAGAGGGGCAAUAUUGACUUGAGUUCAUUGAAGUUUCGGGUCCUUGAUGAGGCUGAUGAGAUGCUUAGGAUGGGUUUCGUUGAAGAUGUUGAACUUAUUCUGGGUUUGUAUUCUUGAUAUAGAGUACGCGGAGUUCCCAUAUACUGGUUUUCAUAAGGCAAUUUUCAUGGUCUUUAAUUGAAAUAUGCAGGUAAAGUCGAGGAUGCUAAUAAAGUUCAAACACUUCUCUUCAGUGCCACCUUGCCAAGCUGGGUGAAGCAUGUGUGUUUCCCAAUUUUGAUUCUGGAUUAUUCCUUUCCUGAUUAUAUGUUAGAUCUUCUCAAAUUCUAAAAGUAGUUCUGUAAUUUACAUGUCAUGACUACCUCCUUUCUCUGUAUAACUGAACCCUUCGUCUUCCAUUUUCAGAUUUCCACCAAGUUUCUUAAAUCAGACAAGAAAACCAUAGAUCUUGUUGGCAAUGAGAAAAUGAAGGCUAGUACCAAUGUCCGGCAUAUUGUUCUUCCUUGUUCUAGUUCAGCGAGAUCUCAAGUCAUUCCUGAUAUCAUUCGUUGUUAUAGCAGGUCAGUUGUUUCUAGUUCUCAGUUACUGUUUAAUAAUAAGCAUGAUUGAUUGUUGCUCUUCACAGUUUAUUAUUUCAUUUUGCCUUAGCAAUUGUGUGAUUCUUCUGAUUCAGUGGAGGCCGAACUAUUAUUUUCACCGAGACAAAGGAAAGUGCUUCUCAGCUUGCUGACUUGCUGCCUGGUGCACGGGCUUUACAUGGGGACAUACAGCAGUCUCAACGUGAGGUAAGUUGUUCAGCAGGAUUCUUCUUUUUUUGACAUGUUAUGAUGAAAGCAAAGGGUCAAUCAGUUUUUGAGCUUAUAUACCGUCUCUGCUCUGGCAACAUAUAUUUUCAGCACAUUCAAAGAAAACAAUGCUUGAUGAGCCAUCCAAUGCUCAGUCUUUCAAAAUUUUGCAGUAAUCUCUCAUUUGAAAAACUGUAGUUUUUGACAAGUUGCUUUAAUCAUGACUCAUGAAUGGAAGCAUGGUGGCUGCUGAAUUGUUUAUUUUAGCUAGUUUGCUAUCAAGUUGAAAUGAUUGAAAGAAACUAUCAUUUUCUGUUUAUGAGAAUCUUGUACACUAAAAAUAUUUGCUAAAGAACAAAAUCACUUGAUGUUUUUGUUUUGAUUUUUAAUAAUCAAUCGUGACAACUUUAUUGAAUUUGUGAUCUUGCAGGUGACACUUGCUGGGUUCAGGUCAGGAAAGUUCAUGACAUUAGUUGCCACAAAUGUGGCGGCACGGGGUUUGGACAUUAAUGAUGUGCAGUUAAUUAUUCAGGUUUGUUUGCAUGUAUUUUUGGGAGGCUUUAUGUAAUGUCUUUUUCUGGUAUAUACUUAAACAGACCUUUGUUUUUAGUGUGAGCCUCCUCGUGAUGUAGAAGCCUAUAUACAUCGAUCUGGACGUACUGGAAGAGCAGGUAUGAAAAUGUGCAUUUAUUUCCUGUUUUAAAUGCACACUGUUUCACGGAAUGCUGAGGUGCUUUUUUUUUUCAAUUUCCCACCCCCAACCCCCAGGCAAUACUGGAGUUGCUGUAAUGCUUUAUGAUCCUAGAAAGUCAAGUGUAUCUAAGAUAGAAAGAGAAUCUGGUGUGAAAUUUGAGCACAUAUCUGCUCCACAGCCAGCUGAUAUUGCCAAGGCUGCAGGUGUGGAAGCUGCUGAAACAAUAACCCAAGUUUCUGAUAGGUAUACUUGCUAUGUC